UCACAACUUAGAACAGUCAUAUCUUAGAAUUCUUGAAUGAAACCACAACUUGGAACUGUCAUAAGUUAGAAUGAUCAUAACGUAGAAACAUAACUUAGAACUAUCAUAACUUGGAACUCUCAUAACUUAGAAACCGGGUCUUAUAUUCAUAACUUAUAGCUAUCAUAGCUUAGAAAAAACACAUUAGAAACACAUGAUUUAGAACCAUGACUUAGAAUCAUAACUUAGAAACACACCCUAGAACGAACACAAUUUAGAAACAUCUUAGAAACAUGAAACUUAGAAAGUCGUAAAUUAGAACUGUCAUAAAUUAGAAAAUACUAUCUUGUGUGUUUGAGUUAUGUUUUUCCAAGUUACGACAUCGCCCCAUGUCGGGGCACCAGGUAACAGACACCGCUUCUGCGAGAUGGGAGCCCAGCGAGUGGUUCGUGGCGAGCUCUGGUAGGGCAUAAAGUGACUAUUCGGGGAGGUCAACAACUCUGUCCUCCGACUAAAGAUUCGGGGCGCUUACAAAACCAGAGUACUGUUGGCAUGUUCGUGAGGGUCCGCGGUGGUUUGCCUGUCGGGUCCCUCCCGUGCCCAGCGGAGUUGAAACCAGGGUUGUUCGCAAGCGAGAAACAUGGCGGACGUCACCACUAAACGGUCGGUUCUCUCAGGAUGCUCCUGUGUCUCCCAUGAUGCAUUCCAUCGCUGCCCCAGCUAACUCAACGUCAACUCAUCCGCCUGCAAAGGCGUCGUCAGGCUAUAUUUCUAGGAUUUUCUGUAUAAGGCCAACUUCUUAAAGCGAACCGUCACCUAGGAGUAAUUAUUAUUUCUCUCUCGCGGCCGAAACGUCCUUCCAACCCGAAAUUUUGAUCCUUCCCCUCCACGAGCACAGGGUGUCGUGAGAAAAGUGGUCGUUCGUCUCCAACGAAGCGUGAGCCUAAAUGUAGACGAUGAACGUUACUCUCUGUUUCAUGCGAACACGUGUCAUCUGAACAGAUCUGUUAGAUACAAUCUCUUUCAGAAGUCACGUGAUCAGAAGUGACGUCGCUUUCCGUUAUCGCACGUCCAAGGUCUGUUCUUGGCUUCUGAGUGAGACAAAGGUGUUUACUUAAUCUUGCUGCUGGUUGCUGUUCGUCUCUCUCUUGAAAAAAAAGUAAAUACGGAUAUGUGCAUCACUGCCGAGUUUAACUGCGCCCAAGAAACACGACACCAUUCGGCAGCUACUGUUGGGCAAAGUCUCCGAGAAAAUUAACUUAAUGUCAACAUGCAUAUUUAGCUACAACCUAACCAAAGACUGACGACACCAAAUUUAAGAGACCUGCCUUGUCAGGGGUGUACUUGUGUUAGUUUGGUGGGAUAAGUGUGAUGAUCGCUAGUGUUUCUUAGUGUGGUGUCGCCUCUAAGUGCAAGGUUGUGUACUAGCGCGCAGUCUUCUCGUCGUGCAUAGGACAACUAUGAGAUUUGAGCGGUGACCAUAAAAAUUUUUUUUUGCUGUGAAAUGAAGAUAAAGAUGAAACUCAAAUCCCCUUUUUUUGCUUUAAGAAUAUGUACCGGGAGUUUCGUACCAAAAUAUUCUGCGAACAGCUGUUUUAAGCCAAUUGUUACUCUCCGAAACACAGGAUUUAAAAUCAAAAUCCAGAAACAGAACCACUAUUCUGAUGCCGAUCUCAACAAUUUUUUUUUAAUGCUUCUCGUAAACAGACACCACUUGGAUAUCUUGAACGAUUUCCAAAUUGCGCGGUUUCUUCUGAAACUCUGCAUACUACAUGUUUGUACACAGGUAGGCGGGGGCUCUUAAAUAUCGGUAAUAUCGCCAUGUUGAUUUGUUUUUAUUUUUCUAAAUGCUGCUAUUUAACGGCUGUUUCUGAAAUUUUAACACUGCAACGUCCUUGCAGUUAUUGUUCUGUCCCUAAUAAUUUCAACAGAUGUUCACGACAUUUAUUUAGCUGUCAAAAAUAAUAUAAUCACUUGAAAUAACAUUACCAUUUUCUAUGGUUGCUGUUGUUAUAAAUAUUUAAAUGAAAUUCUGAGCAUUUUUUAAUUAUUACCAUGCAGUUUUGCUUGUUUUGGUUUUGUGUGUAAUUGACCCCCUGAAACCUUAAAUCUGCCCUAGGUAUUUUAAAUAGAGCUGCCAUGCUGUUGAGUAGCACCCUCACAAAACGCUAGCUAUGACAUAACAGACCAGACCAUCGCAUUAUCUUUUCCCGACAGCAGGAUCGCGAUAAGUGUGUGACGAACUCGAUCACGCACGGUUGAGUGUUUGUCCCAAGGAGCCAUUGUGCUUGACGUGACAAAGCAAAGUUGAGCAAUAACUCUUCUUGUUUUGUGCUGAUUGUUCUGUGCUGAUUGCGAGUCGGCCGUCAUCGAACUGAUACACGGCUGAUUAAGUGAUUACAUUCGGGACGGUAUCUUGGCUCCUUGAAACAGUCGUCAGAGGUGUUCAGAGUGCAAUAGUAUUGUCGCAGUUGCCAAACUCAGCUGACUACCUCAGCCUGAUUCAAGUGAAAUAUUCAGGCUGUGGAAAUAAAUAAAGUGCAGGCGAUGUCUGGAGAACCACUCCCUCCUCUCACCAAAGACGACCUGGAGGAGUUGUUGCACAGCAAGGUGGACAGCUUCACCGUCUCCCCACUGACCGCUCCUGGCGAGAACUACGGCAGCACCAUGUUGCUGGUGGACAUCAUGCUGCCAGACCACAAGAAGAUGUCCAUAGUUGCCAAGAUGGUCUCGGAGUUUCCUCAAAUGCGUGAAAUUUUCCGUUUCCAAGAGACAGUCCGCAAGGAGAUCUACACGUACAGGCUGGUCCGACCGGAGUUCCUCGCCAUCCAGAAGGAGCACAAGAUACCGGAGGACUUGUUCCUGGACGUGAUCCCCGAGUGCUACGGCGCGCGCACCAGCCGGGGCGGAGGCAUCGACCAGCCGGUGGACGAGAGCUCCGUCAUCCUGAUGGAGAACCUCAAGGAGUCCGGGUACCGGCUCGCCGACCGCAUGGUGGGCUUGGACCUGAAGCACCUGGAGUACGUGGUGACGCGGCUGGCGCGCUUCCACGCGACGGCCACCGUGCUGAAGCUGAAGAAGCCCGAGGUCUUCAGGGACACCGUGAUGAAAGCUGCUGCUAAAAUAGAGAUGCGGCCACCACCACACAAGGACGGAGAGCGGCCUGGUCCACUGAAGAUGUUGGAUGCUAUUUCACACCAUCCUGGUAUUAACCAGUACAAAGAUAAAAUAGAAGAAGUGUUUAAGGAAAACAUUAAAAGUUUUGGGAAAGAGCCGGAGCCAAGGGAACCGUUCGCUACCAUUAUCCACAACGACUUCUGGACAAACAACAUGAUGUUUGCAUACGAUGGAAGUGAAGGUGAAAACAUCAAGGGUUUGAAAAUCUUUGAUUUUCAAAUGCCUACUUAUGGUUCACCAGUAAAAGACCUGUUGUUUCUGUUGUACUCAAGCAGGGUUGUUGAAGUGACAAAGGAAGACUGUGAUAGGUUGAUUGAGUUGUAUUAUAGUGAGUUCAUAAAGUGGCUCGAAUUGUUUGGCGUGGAUUCUAAACCAUUUACGUAUUCCCUUUUCUUGAAGGAGAUAAACAUGGAAUCUGUUGAGUGUUUUAUGCAUUCUUUUUUCAUGUUAAAGGUGUCGUCUAUACCUGAAAGUAAUGCACCUGACCUUUCUAACAGUUCUCAUCAUGACACAAUGUUUUCAGACAUAAGUGGUUUGGGAGAUAUUUACUUUACUAAAGUACAGAAUUUCGCGAAAGAAUUUAUUGAAAGAAACUGGAUAUGAACGAGUAUUACCUUGAAAUUUUCAGUUGUGUUUUCUUAAAUAUUAAUAUUAGUAUGUUUAGUGUUUGUCAUAUUAUUUUCAUAUGUAUAUCACAUUAACUUGUUUUGAAAUAUUUGUUUAUUUAGAAAUUAAAAUAAAAUAUUAUAAAAUGAAUUUUGCUUGUAAAUUAUUGUUGUGUUUGUACACUGUUCACUUGUUAGUAAAUAUGAUGAGUUUCGUAAUGUGAUUCCAUUCACUCAUAUUUGUAGAAAAUAAUUCCCAUUUUCAUUUGAAACUGUACACAAUGAAAACUAUUGAAUUCACCUUAAAUUUGGUACUAGAUAAAUUUUAGUCAUGGGUGUUAUUCAUGUCAAAGUAUUAAUUGAAGAAAUGGAUGGUAUCGAUAACAUAGCUAUCCAUAUACCUAUCUAUAUAUCUAUCAAAGUGAAAUACCACUCUCUGACUCACUCAAUACAAAUUGCCUUGAAAUUUGGUACGUAUAUUACAUUUGAAACUUAUACAUCCGCAAAGAAGAUUUUAUACAAAUCAGCUCCUAAGGGGAGGUUCAGUGCAUUAAAGCUGAAAUUUCCCAUUGUUCUACUUACAACAUUAAUAUAUAUAUAUAUUAAUUACUUCCCUUUGCAAGAUUUAAAAUCUCUGGCAACGCUGGCUACUUCAGUUAGUCCCUACUAAUAUUAUAAAUGUGAAAGUGUGUUUGUCUGUUUGUCCUGUCACUGUUUCAUGUGGAAUGCGGGAUGCGGGAUGCUCGCUCACGAUCGCAAGAGAAGAAGGCUUCGCUAGACAUCGCAAGGAGAAGGAAAUUCGUUUUGAAUGAUAGUGUUUCUCAACUGUUUUGAGGCAUUGUAAUCGGUUCAGUAAUGAAUCGCUUUUGUUUGAAUUUCACCUGCUUUAAAUAAUAUUAGUUUUAAUUCAGUAACAGGAAUUCACUAAUUUGAACGAAAUCCUGAAUAAAAUUGCUUGUAUCAUUACAAAAAAAUUACAUGCAGGGAUUGUUUUCUCAGGAAUAAUGAGCACACUGAGAAAACCAUCAGAAGCUUGCCAGGAAUGACCAGAAGCACUUGGAGAAAACCAACAAAAUAUUGACAGGAAUAAUCAGAAGCAGACAGAGCAAACCAACGCAUGUUUUGCUAAAUCAAGCUCAUGAAUUAAAACAAAAAAAAAAAAUGAAAAAAGAGGAUAGUUGUAGUACACGCCAGUGUCUUUGUGGAAUGUGUACUCAGUUUUUGUCGAAUGUGUUUCCAAAUUUUCUUCCUUUUUUAAAGUUUUUUUGACUUGCAUAUUAAUUUAAAUUGUUCGUGUUUUGACUAGCAUAGUAUUCCAGUGGACAUAUAAGUGAGUCCCAGAGGAUAGCACCUUCAGUUCAUCUCUGACCGUUGUGCAGUGCGGAUCGGCUCUCUUCAGUAUGUUUCCUGAUAUUUAGUUGGUUUUCCAAUGAUGACCUUGAUGGACGUUCUACCAUCGACAGUGCAGACCUCGAUGGCAGCGAUGACAGUGGCGAUGCAGAUCCUGUUGGCAUUGCCAACGACAAUUACGCAGAACUCGAUGGAAAGUGUACCAUUGUCACCAACAACAUUAGAGCAGACUUAAACAGGUAUAAUUUCACCAGCAGAAGAGACUUAAAUGUCUGCAGUGCUGGCUGCAGAGGGAACCUUCGAUGAAUGACGUUUCGUCAUCGAAGGAGACUUUAGUGGCUGCAUCACCACUAGCAUCAAUGAUGUCCACUAAAGGUACAUCGGCAUCUUUCCAGCAUUGGUGUCAUUACUGUGACAGGAAUUUCUCGAACGGCGGUAAUGUUCGACAACACGAGAAGAGAGAAUGUUCGAGGAAUCCAUCUUGCAAGAAAUUUAGCUGUGAGAAAUGACACAAGCAGUUUGCAAGAAACGAUAGCUUAAAAAGACGUGCCAUAAGCUGCAAACAAAAUUGCUUCUCCUGACAAACGAUCGAGCUUGACAUUGCAGGAGACUCAAGUUAGAGCUUUACUGAGUAAAGAUACAUAGAGGAACACACACAAUCGAUAUUCAUGUCACACCUGUGAGAAGAAUUUUCCAUAUGCUCAUGAUGCAUGGAGACAUGAGAAAAAAGAAUGCUCGCAGAACCCAUCACGCUUGGCGUUUCGUUGUGAUGAGUGUCGUGCAUGGUUUACUCGUAUUGACAAUUUGAGACGACAUGCGAAAAACUGCAAAGGUGGAGUACGCGCAAUGCCUCUAGCAUUAAAACAAAUCUGCAGCAAGAAGCUUCAAUAUCUAUCCAACAUGAAACGCAACCUACGAAUGUUCUCGGUGCGUUCAGACUAAAUGAAAAUGGAUUCUACCUGGCGAAAUCAGCAGUCUAUGGAAUGUUGAAAUACUUUUAUUUCCUGAACGACUCUCUUACGCCAAGAGCGUUUGUACCUUUCUAACUGAUGCCAAGAAGGAUAUUGUUAAUCAAAAUGAAGAAGUAUUGGAAAACGAUCACUCUGGGAAGUAUAAUUUGUGGCUGGAAUGUACUUAUGGUAAACCUGGGCCAUUUCAGGACCAGAAAAGAGCAUUCAAGACGAUGAAUACUGCUCUCUACCUAUCGCAUGAUAUAAUCGUGAAGAAGAAGAAUAACAAGGAAAAGAAAGUGGAUGGACACAUUUAGCUAUGUAAAUAGAUUGCAACUUAGAACAAGCAGACUGCACACUGAGAACUGUGUUGCAGUGUGGCUCCAGAUCGUGUUGUCUUCGACAGGCGUGGAUCUCCGAGG